rnacentral:rRNA from 1 species
GCCGCAAACCCCGCCGGGCGCAGCAGCGGGGUAAGGGCCCAGUACCGGCCGCCCCCUCCUCCCCCCCUGCGCUCCCUCGGCCCCAGCGGACACUCGUCUUCCGUCGCUCCCAGCCGCCCUCCGCACAGCCCCUCCCCUCGCCCGCCGCGCCCCAACCCCCUACCAACUGCUCCUUUGGGAUUGCCCCCGGUCUACAUCGCAACCUGGCCCGGUCGCGGGUGGCCACCCGCACCGACCCGGCGCCCCCCGCCCUGGCCGGGCCACCUGGCCGGGUGUCGUACUGGUUUCCGGGCAUGAGGUGACCCGCAGGGCCGCCGGUGGCGGGGGCCCCACCCAGGUUGUCGUUCCGGGUACCCGACCGGGUCCUGGUGGCGCCAGGCCAUGCUAGCAGGGCCCCUCUGGUUCGCCCCCCGUUCCCAAAGGGGCUCGCGGCGGCGUCACCGGCGGCCGCCCCUUCCUGCCCUCGCCGCUCCGGUCCUGCCCCGCGCGCCCCGAGGUCCUCCGCCCCCUUGCCUCCACGGUUUGCGUCUUUACUUCCCGGCCUUCCCCCUCGCAGCCCUCUAGUGUCGCCUCUCGAGCCUGCUCUCGCGGCCGCUGCUCGCCCGGCCUCGCCUCCUACUGCUUCGGCCCCGGCGCCGGAAGGUCCUCCUCGCACGCUCCGGCGCUAGCCGCGCCGGGCGCUGUGGGGUAGGCGGUCGUGCCGCAGAGGCUCCCCCUCGGGGCCUGGGGUUCCAUCGUGGAAAGCGGGGGUGGCCGCAUCUGUGCGGGCUUCCGGCCGCGGCCGCGGCCCGACUGGGCGCCCGCCGGCUUGAGGGUGGGGACCCUCAUCCCGGUGGCCGUCUUAGCUCGUCUCCGUCGGCCCCGCCCCGGAACCCCCCUUGCGCCAGGGCCGUGUGCUGCCCGGCGGGGCGCCGCUGCAGCAACCGGAGCCGCUCCAGACGGGUCUGCUGCGCGCUGCUCGGUCGUCCCCCUCAGCCUCGAUAGGUAGGCAAGUUUCUGUGAGAAGGUCUUUUUCUUAAGUUCCUUGAGGCGUCGAGGCUUAUGUCUCCACUCUUUAGCUUAGUUAGCUCGUCGCGAGACCACUAGAUAAGUAGAUGUACAAGACUAGACGUACAUAAGGGACAAAAAGGAGACGACCAAGUCGAAACAAUUUGAAUAUCGUCUAUAUUUUAUGGACAUAUAUACGAAUCUUGUUCGUUUUAAUCGUGAGAGAUAGAACUCAACAGUCAAACUAAAUGUAUGUGUACAGUGAGCUGAUACGUAGUAGUUCGUCUUACAAAUACACACAACGGUCAUUGUUUAACAUAGUUUAGAACACAAUUUUGUUAUGAUAGUUUAAUUGAAAGGUUGGUCCUAAAGUUCUUUUUUUAACACACGACCUCGUUCUUUCCCUUGUACCAUUCCUCACACGGAUCUUCUCAAAGAGACAAGAGAAGGAUAACCAACGGUAUACGUCGAACGCCCAGAGUUGAAUUAUUUAUGUAGUUGGCGCAUGGCUUCCUUUUUGAGUAAUGUACUUAAGACUCAUCCAUAAAAGUCAGAAAGCGUUACAUCAAAUAAAUAAAAAGAGACGUGGUACUACACGACUAUUUUAAACCUAUUAGUUAGUUUAAAGGUCACUACUACGGGAUCGACUAGUACGAAGAAAUGGUGUUAGUAAAAGGACUGUCAUCAACACGUACGUCAUGUACAAAAGUCAACUCGCUCGGGAGAAAAUCAAUCUCUAGUUUUAAGUUCGGACUGUACCGUAUACUUACGAGGGUCAAAUCGUUUUCGGCACUAGAAAGGUUGAAACUCUCAACUUCCUUUAGAGGCCUAUUUUUUAACUUCUUAAGUAUAUCGUGUCAUGUCCCACUCGUAGGUGUACUGUCAAGAUUUCAACAAAAAUAGUAUACCUUCAAGUAUUCAACACUAUUCUUAUUUUUACGUUUCAAGGUUUUUGAAUACAAAGGUCGUACUACCGAGGGGACAAAGAUACCAUUAGAAAAAGUUUAUAAGACUAGUACCAGGAGAUUCGUAAGGACCAAACAGUGAACUCGGACUCGGCACCCAGCGUCUAGGUUGCUUGUAACUACUUUAGGUAUCUUUUUCGAAUCGAUUGAGAAGUAUUGUUUACCUGACUCAAUCACGCGCGUGAGUGGCCGGCCACGAAGAGUAUCAAAAAAAUUGUACGAUAUCGUCGAUAUGUUAUAGUCUAAAUACCUUUGUAUAAAGUCUUAACCAUUAACCACACAAGAUAAGAGGAAAGGAACCUAUAAAGAAUAAGACAAAAUCUUAAUAAUAAAAAGCAGGCGUGAAAGUUCAUAAAUACGGACCCCAGAAAGUAAGAUGUCGACUUGUUAAUAUAGAGUUUUAUCGAACGCAGGGGAUAUAAACUAGGAAGACGGGAGAAAAUUUAAGUUGGAGAUUAACUGUAGAAGAAAGCAACAACAACAUAUGUGCUCACACAUGGUUUAAUAUGUUUACUUUAUAACACCUUGUCCGUAUAAGUUUUGACAAAAAACUUCAAUUUAUAGAGUACACUCUUCGGAUCUAUAUUCUUUAUACCCACAUUCCGCUAACAAAACUCCACAGUUACGUUGAAUGUCAUGUACCUAGACCAAUCUUGAAACUAUGAAGAACGAAACCAUACGACGAUGCCAUCGAGUUAUGGCUACUUUGUCUUCCUAACCAGUACAGUGGUUUACCCAUGGUGUGUGUAUAUCUAACAACGAACGAGAGUGCCAGGUACAGUAGGAGCUAGGUACAACCAUACGUAGGAGAGGGAAAGGAAAGGAGAGAUGAUUCAACAGAGAGGAAAAGGAAAUUAAUAAGUACACUAGAAAGAACGAGACUCUUCGGGAAGUACUACGUGUCUUCCUAAGUCAAAGACUUAAGAUUAGUUGUCCAAAGUCAGCAGAUAACGUUUUUACAAGAUACGUAUAAUACACUCAAUUUCCCAGUUGGUUUACUAGUAUAUACAUAAAUAUAUCUUAGUAUAGAUAGAUAACCGUCAGUACAGACUACGUAUGCAGAAACGACUAAUUUUUUAUACGUGUUUCUGGAUGCACUUUAUCAAACUAUUUGUUUUUUAUGACGAGCUGGCUAAAGAAGGAGAAUAAGUGACAAGGUAAAAUAUUGUGUUUCGCGAGUGUACCCGAGAGAACCCGCGCCGCACAGCGGCGCGGAGACGGACGAUCAGUCCUAAUUAACAACGAUAGAUCUCAUAAAUAACUUUCUGCACACUAGUCUCUUUUACUCGAGAUUAGGAUCUCAUUAAUACCCCUCGUGAGAACUUUCGUAGCUACCAUUUCCUACAAAUUAAACUUUUGGGGUUCUCUACCCACCAUUAAACUCCUUCAUUUAGACUGCCAGUUGCUACUGAACUAGGUUCCCGGUACGUGGCCACAGUAAGGAUCGCCAGAGGAUAUUUUCCCCAUGCCGUAGGCCUAGACUGGGUUUAACUGAGCCCGUCAUCAUCCCCACCACUUUGAAAUCUACAGUUUACGGUGGUUAAAAAGACGAGUUCAAUCCCCUAGGUUAUUUUUCCCUGAUGUAAGGUUAGGAUGAAUGGUCUUAUUUAUCAACAUACCGUAAGCUUGGGGUGGAAGUACCAACAUAAGAUUAAUCGACCUUUACAUACUGGAUUCGAAGAGUUGUCCGUAAGUGAGUUGUCGGGGGGGGGUGUUUAGUAGAGCCGGCGGGGAUACGGUAGGGUUUCGUCGGGCCGGCCUCGCGGCGGGCCAAAGGGAUUUGGAUACACGAUGGGACGGCGGCGGCUAGAAGGGGCACGGGAGCUUGCGACGGCGUACGACGACCUGUCCGACGACGUUGUACUCCUGCCCACCCACAAGCGGUUCGGCCACCUAUGUAUGUUUGAGCCUGAGGCGCUGAUGGUGAGGUAGUAGCGACUUGGGUACCUAGAGCCGUGACAGUCGGCGGCGGAACUUAACGCAGCGAUGGGCUUGGACGAGACGAAACGGUUCCUACAGGCCGCAUGGAAGUCGUUGCGGUACUGGAUGUUGUUGUUCCCUCUGCUACACAUACUCUCACGACGAUUCGAGAGAGCGUAGAAGCUCAGUCCCACCCAGAGGUAAAACCGCCGCGAGGGCAGCGGCGGCGGCCAGCGGCACGCGUCCCGUUCCGAGUUCCUACUCGACGGCGCCGACGGCCACCUGAACGUCCUCUUUCGCCGGUAGUAAUACUUUCUGUAUCCGCCCACCUAGGUCCUCCACCUACCCUCCCAACUCCACCUAAACCUGUUCCGGCUGCUCCGCUGAGAACUGUUCGAGCUCACCGACGAGCGAGAGCGGUGGUACUCCUUCCUCCGUCCUCGCGACCUAUUAGUUUGAGCUACUCCGCGACGUACCAAAAUGGUGGUAGUUAACAAAGAGCCAAGGUCUUGCGACGACUGAAUUUGUACCAAAGGGAGAAAACGCUUACUCAUAGUCGUACUAAAGAUUCACCGACAUUGUAGCGAUCGGAUAUAUAGGGAUGAGACCUAAACAUACUUAUGGGGUCACAGUCACACCAACAUUAAACCCCCAAACAUCGACCACCCAAUAAGACAGACAACCAUAUAACCUUAAUCUGAAAUCUGGACACUACUAUGACUUCUUGACGUUCCUACACACCUUCAGUACAACAAGCUAACAAGUAAUUUAUAUACUAAAGCACCCGCCUAAAAGACGGUACUUAACGUGACGAGUUUUCUAACCACCGUUACGUUAGCUUCAUAUACCUAAACCUCC